rnacentral:SRP_RNA from 2 species
GCUGGGUGUGGUAGCGCACACCUGUAAUCCUAGCUGCUUGGGAGGCUGAGGCACGAGAAUCAUUUGAACCCAGGAGGCAGAGGCUGCAGUGAGCCAAGAUCACGCCACUGCACUCCAGCCUGGGCAACAGAGUGAGACUCUGUCUCAA